rnacentral:rRNA from 1 species
UUUUGCGCAAUGCUCGUAAGAGUGACGCAGCGACGCCGCGUGAAUGACGAAGGCCUUCGGGUCGUAAAGUUCUUUCGACAGGGAAGAAAAUGCCUAUAAGUAACUGUGUAUGUAUUGACGGUACAUGUAUAAGCAGCCCUGGCUAACUCCGUGCCGGCAGCCGCGGUAAUACGGAGGGGGCGAGCGUUGUUCGGAGUGACUGGGCGAAAAGAGCACGUAGGCGGUGUUGUAAGUCAUUAGGCAAAGACUAGAGCUCAACUUUAGUAAGGCUAGUAAUACUGUAAUACUAGAGUAUCAGAGAGGAUUGCAGAAUUCCUGGUGUAGCGGUGAAAUGCGUAGAUAUCAGGAGGAAUACCGUUAGCGAAGGCGGCAAUCUGGCUGGAAACUGACGCUGAGGUGCGAAAGCGUGGGUAGCAAACAGG